AUACGGAGGAUCCGAGCGUUAUCCGGAUUUAUUGGGUUUAAAGGGUGCGCAGGCGGGAGAUUAAGUCGGCGGUGAAAUUUUGCAGCUCAACUGUAAAAGUGCCUUCGAAACUGGUUUCCUUGAGUGGAGAUGAAGUAGGCGGAAUUUGUGGUGUAGCGGUGAAAUGCAUAGAUAUCACGAGGAACUCCGAUUGCGCAGGCAGCUUACUAAACCAUAACUGACGCUCAGGCACGAAGGCGUGGGGAUCAAACAGGAUUAGAUACCCUGGUAGUCCACGCAGUAAACGAUGAUUACUCGCUGUUUGCGAUACACAGCAAGCGGCUUAGCGAAAGCGUUAAGUAAUCCACCUGGGGAGUACGUUCGCAAGAAUGAAACUCAAAGGAAUUGACGGGG
rnacentral:rRNA from 1 species